UACGUAGGGUGCAAGCGUUGUCCGGAAUUAUUGGGCGUAAAGAGCUCGUAGGCGGUCUGUCGCGUCUGCUGUGAAAACUCAGGGCUUAACCCUGAGCUUGCAGUGGGUACGGGCAGACUAGAGUGCGGUAGGGGAGACUGGAAUUCCUGGUGUAGCGGUGAAAUGCGCAGAUAUCAGGAGGGAACACCGGUGGGCGAAGGCUGGGUCUCUGGGCCGUA
rnacentral:rRNA from 1 species